rnacentral:rRNA from 1 species
GACGAACGCUGGCGGCGUGCCUAACACAUGCAAGUCGAGCGGGGUUGAAGCGAGGGGUAACUCGAGUUUCUACCUAGCGGCGGACGGGUGAGUAACGCGUGGGCAACCUGCCUCAAGGACUGGGAUAACAGCUCGAAAGGGCUGCUAAUACCGGAUAUGCCUGUGGCCUCGCAUGGGGCUAUGAGCAAAGGGGAAACCCGCCUUGAGAUGGGCCCGCGUCCCAUCAGCUAGUUGGUGAGGUGAAGGCUCACCAAGGCGACGACGGGUAGCCGGCCUGAGAGGGUGACCGGCCACACUGGGACUGAGACACGGCCCAGACUCCUACGGGGGCAGCAGUGGGGAAUCUUGCACAAUGGGCGAAAGCCUGAUGCAGCGACGCCGCGUGAGCGAAGAAGGCCUUCGGUUGUAAAGCUCUGUCUGGAGGGACGAAGGAAGUGACGGUACCUCCGGAGGAAGCCACGGCUAACUACGUG